rnacentral:rRNA from 1 species
AUUUGACCUCGGAUCAGGUAGGAAUACCCGCUGAACUUAAGCAUAUCAAAA